rnacentral:rRNA from 1 species
UACGAAGGGUGCAAACGUUGCUCGGAAUCAUUGGGCGUAAAGCGCACGUAGGCGGCUUUGCAAGUCGGAUGUGAAAUCCCGUGGCUCAACCAUGGACGUGCAUUCGAAACUGCAAAGCUUGAGUAUGGAAGAGGGUCGCGGAAUUCCCGGUGUAGAGGUGAAAUUCGUAGAUAUUGGGAAGAACACCGGUGGCGAAGGCGGCGACCUGGUCCAUUACUGACGCUGAGGCGCGAAAGCGUGGGGAGCAAACAGG